UAUGAACGCUAGCUACAGGCUUAACACAUGCAAGUCGAGGGGCAGCAUCAUCAAAGCUUGCUUUGAUGGAUGGCGACCGGCGCACGGGUGAGUAACACGUAUCCAACCUGCCGACAACACUGGGAUAGCCUUUCGAAAGAAAGAUUAAUACCGGAUGGCAUAGUUUUCCCGCAUGGGAUAAUUAUUAAAGAAUUUCGGUUGUCGAUGGGGAUGCGUUCCAUUAGGCAGUUGGCGGGGUAACGGCCCACCAAACCGACGAUGGAUAGGGGUUCUGAGAGGAAGGUCCCCCACAUUGGAACUGAGACACGGUCCAAACUCCUACGGGAGGCAGCAGUGAGGAAUAUUGGUCAAUGGACGAGAGUCUGAACCAGCCAAGUAGCGUGAAGGAUGACUGCCCUAUGGGUUGUAAACUUCUUUUAUACGGGAAUAAAGUUAGCCACGUGUGGCUUUUUGUAUGUACCGUAUGAAUAAGGAUCGGCUAACUCCGUGCCAGCAGCCGCGGUAAUACGGAGGAUCCGAGCGUUAUCCGGAUUUAUUGGGUUUAAAGGGAGCGUAGGCGGGUUGUUAAGUCAGUUGUGAAAGUUUGCGGCUCAACCGUAAAAUUGCAGUUGAUACUGGCGACCUUGAGUGCAACAGAGGUAGGCGGAAUUCGUGGUGUAGCGGUGAAAUGCUUAGAUAUCACGAAGAACUCCGAUUGCGAAGGCAGCUUACUGGAUUGUAACUGACGCUGAUGCUCGAAAGUGUGGGUAUCAAACAGGAUUAGAUACCCUGGUAGUCCACACAGUAAACGAUGAAUACUCGCUGUUGGCGAUAUACAGUCAGCGGCCAAGCGAAAGCAUUAAGUAUUCCACCUGGGGAGUACGCCGGCAACGGUGAAACUCAAAGGAAUUGACGGGGGCCCGCACAAGCGGAGGAACAUGUGGUUUAAUUCGAUGAUACGCGAGGAACCUUACCCGGGCUUAAAUUGCAACUGACUGAACCGGAAACGGUUCUUUCUUCGGACAGUUGUGAAGGUGCUGCAUGGUUGUCGUCAGCUCGUGCCGUGAGGUGUCGGCUUAAGUGCCAUAACGAGCGCAACCCUUAUCGAUAGUUACUAGCAGGUCAUGCUGAGGACUCUAUUGAGACUGCCGUCGUAAGAUGUGAGGAAGGUGGGGAUGACGUCAAAUCAGCACGGCCCUUACGUCCGGGGCUACACACGUGUUACAAUGGGGGGUACAGAAGGCAGCUACACGGCGACGUGGUGCUAAUCCCGAAAGCCUCUCUCAGUUCGGAUUGGAGUCUGCAACCCGACUCCAUGAAGCUGGAUUCGCUAGUAAUCGCGCAUCAGCCACGGCGCGGUGAAUACGUUCCCGGGCCUUGUACACACCGCCCGUCAAGCCAUGAAAGCCGGGGGUACCUGAAGUACGUAACCGCAAGGAGCGUCCUAGGGUAAAACUGG
rnacentral:rRNA from 1 species